GUAUAUCACAGGAGCUGCUCCGUUCAAAUAGCGUAGAUGACAGCAUGAACGACUUUCGCUGACCGCUGUGCAUAUACUCGUUGAAUUCACAAAAGGUGCCUUAUUUUCAAAGAGUCCCCAGCUUUCAAGCAUCUUCAAACUGAACCUAUCGAUGUCUUUAUCGGUGACAUCCCAUAAGUUUGCAACUAACGUUGGACACCCAGCACUCAAAUAAUCCAAAGGAGUCCCCCAUGGCUCAAAUGAGCCACAUUCAUACAAAGCACCAGAACUACAACCCAUCAGUAUAGUGACUGCACACCUUUUUAGAGUGGCCAGGUCAUAAGAUGUUGUAUAUUGCUCUCCUCCUCCAUGUCCGAAAUAUAGAAAAAAAUCAUUACCUGAAAGCAUUUUAAUAAAAUCUCUAUUAGAAGGUUGACUAGCAAUUAAUCCCUUCCACCCACCUUCAACUAGUUUAUGUUCAAACAUUUCUUGAGUAUGCUUAAGGUCCAAACUAGGAUUUAGUAUAUAUGAACCUGCUUCUUUACGCACUUCAACAUACUCUCCAUUAACGACAAAUGAUUGGGACAAGAUGUCCCGCAGAAUUGAUAAUGAAGGCACACGUGAUACCGAUUGUCGGUUUAGGCAUGGUAAAGAUUCCCACGGAAAUUGGUGAACUGAUUUAUCCAGUACAAGGACCGUAUGACUCCUGUUCUCUUCAGAGACAUAAUUGUUGAAGUAGGCAUUUAGAGCAUCCUGAAGAUCCAUAGAUAGUUGAUCAGUAUCAAUCUCGUCGUAUGCAAAAUGAAGACCUCGGAAUUGAAAAAUGUCCAAAAUAAAAUAAAUCAAAUCCUCUAAAAGCUGUUCGUAACCUUCAUACCCAGGUUUUCCUAAGGUGAUGAAUAGUUCUAGGAUCUCAGGCGACAGUGUAGGGACAGGUGUUUUCUUGUCCAUGUUAAAAUUUUUAGCUAUAAUGUUUUGAAAUUGACUGGAAAACUUGGCAAACAAAGAAGUAUCAAUUUUAUGUGGAUUGA